AAAAGGGAACUUUUUACUGCGCACACUCCUUUGUUAUUUGUGAGCUUCCAAGGGCUCUGGGAAGGUUGUGAGGAGGCAAGGGGCCUAAAGAUGGGGGAUUGCAUGCUGGAAAACAGCAGUUUGCUACAUUAACAAGCUGAGCCGUGAAAGGAUUAGAUCCGCUAAGUGAGAGCCUGCUCUGUGCACCAUUGCUAAACACAUUUCAGAAAGCAGUGGAUUUGCCUUAAAUGAGUAUCUGCUGGAGGAGCAAAGCCCUAGGAAAACAAAGGGGCGCGCCAGGCCUGUCUCGGAGCACACAGCUCAGAGCAGCAGGGAAGUCGCUUAGCAAAGGGCCACCCACUUGCCUAUUAUUCCUCUCUCGCCUGUGACAUGACACAAGAACAAAGUAGACAUUA
ensembl:lncRNA